GAGUGUCCCGCGGGGCCCGAAGCGUUUACUUUGAGAAAAUUAGAGUGUUCAAAGCAGGCCGGCCGCCGGCAUACUGCAGCUAGGAAUAAUGGAAUAGGACUCCGGUUCUAUUUUGUUGGUUUUCGGAAACGGGGCCAUGAUUAAGAGGGACGGCCGGGGGCAUUCGUAUUGUGCCGCUAGAGGUGAAAUUCUUGGACCGGCGCAAGACGGCCUAGAGCGAAAGCAUUUGCCAAGAAUGUUUUCAUU
rnacentral:ncRNA from 1 species